rnacentral:rRNA from 1 species
AAUCCCGGGAGGACCACCCGAGGCGAAGGCGCUCGGCUAUUCCGAUCCCAACGGUGAUGGCCGAAAGCUGGGGGAUCAAAAGGGAUUAGAGACCCCUGUAGUCCCAGCUGUCAACGCUGUGGGCUACCUGCUGGGUGGACUCAGAGUCCACUCAGUGGGGUAGGGAAGCCGUUAAGCCCACCGCCUGGGGAGUACGGCCGCAAGGCUGAAACUUAAAGGAAUAGGCGGGGGGGCACACAAGGGGUGGGGUGUGCGGUUUAAUGGGACCUAACACCGGAAACCUUACCGGGAGCGACAGCAGGAUGAUGGUCAGGCUGAAGACCUUACCGGACACGCUGAGAGGAGGUGCAUGGCUGCCGUCAGCUCGUGCCGUGGGGUAUCCUGUUAAGUCAGGAAACGAGCGCGACCCGCACCCGUAGUUACGACGGAAAGGAGUUCCUUUCCAGUACACUACGGGGACUGCCGGGGAAACCCGGAGGAAGGCGCGGGCGACGGCAAGUCAGCAUGCCCCAAAUCUCCCGGGCUACACGCGCGCAACAAUGGGCGGGACAAUGGGAGCCGACCCCGAAAGGGGAAGGAAAUCCCAAAAACCCGCUCUCAGUCCAGAUUGAGGGCUGCAACUCGCCCUCAUGACGGUGGAAUCCCUAGUAAUCGGGGGUCACUAUUCCCCCGGUGAAUACGUCCCUGCCCCUUGCACUCACCGCCCGUCAAGCCAACCGAGUCGUUUCCUGGUGAGGCCCGUUAAAAGCGGGUCGAACCGGGAAACGGCGAGGGGGGCUAAGUCGUCACAAGGUAGCCGUAGGGGAACCUGCGGCUG